GCUUGUCUCAAAGAUUAAGCCAUGCAUGUCUAAGUGUAAAUAAGUCUAUACUGUGAAACUGCGAAUGGCUCAUUAAAUCAGUUAUCGUUUAUUUGAUGAUCUCUUACUACUUGGAUAACCGUAGUAAUUCUAGAGCUAAUACAUGCACAAAAUCCCGACUUACGAAGGGAUGUAUUUAUUAGAUACAAACCAACAUCGUGGUGAUUCAUAAUAACUUUGCGAAUCGUAUGCCUCACGGCGACGAUGAAUCAUUCAAAUGUCUGCCUUAUCAACUGUCGAUGGUAGGUUACGCGCCUACCAUGGUUGCAACGGGUAACGGGGAAUCGGGGUUCGAUUCCGGAGAGGGAGCCUGAGAAACGGCUACCACAUCCAAGGAAGGCAGCAGG
rnacentral:rRNA from 1 species